GAUCCUGGCUCAGAUUGAACGCUGGCGGCAUGCCUUACACAUGCAAGUCGAACGGCAGCAUGGAGAGCUUGCUCUCUGAUGGCGAGUGGCGAACGGGUGAGUAAUACAUCGGAACGUGUCCGUUUGUGGGGGACAACCGUCCGAAAGGAUGGCUAAUACCGCAUAAGACCUGAGGGUGAAAGCCGGGGACCGCAAGGCCCGGCGCAGACGGAGCGGCCGAUGAUUGAUUAGCG
rnacentral:rRNA from 1 species